rnacentral:tRNA from 1 species
GCGGUCGUGGCGGAAACGGUAGACGCGCCAGCUUGAGGUGCUGGUGGGGAAACCCCUCCGGGUUCGAGUCCCGGCGACCGCACCA